CCUACGGGUGGCAGCAGUGGGGAAUAUUUGACAAUGGGGGGAACCCUGAUCCAGCCAUGCCGCGUGUGUGAAGAAGGCCCUCGGGUUGUAAAGCACUUUCAGUGAGGAAGAACGCCUGGUGGUUAAUACCCAUCAGGAAAGACAUCACUCACAGAAGAAGCACCGGCUAACUCCGUGCCAGCAGCCGCGGUAAUACGGAGGGUGCGAGCGUUAAUCGGAAUUACUGGGCGUAAAGCGCGCGUAGGUGGCUUGAUAAGCCGGUUGUGAAAGCCCCGGGCUCAACCUGGGAACGGCAUCCGGAACUGUCAAGCUAGAGUGCAGGAGAGGAAGGUAGAAUUCCCGGUGUAGCGGUGAAAUGCGUAGAGAUCGGGAGGAAUACCAGUGGCGAAGGCGGCCUUCUGGACUGACACUGACACUGAGGUGCGAAAGCGUGGGUAGCAAACAGGAUUAGAUACCCCUGUAGUC
rnacentral:rRNA from 1 species